rnacentral:rRNA from 1 species
CAGUAAAGUCGUAACAAGGUUUCCGUAGGUGAACCUGCCGGAAGGGAUCAUUG